rnacentral:ncRNA from 1 species
AGUGCCCGGCGACGCGCCGGGAGAAUAGGGAACCGUGUGAAAAUCACGGACGGUACCGCCGCUGUAAGCGCGGACGGGGCGCUCAAGAUGAUGCAUCAGCCAUUGGGACAACCUGAGAAGGCGGAGCGCGCCGGAGGGAAAGCACGCUUUCCGGAACGCGCAAGUCAGAAGACCUGCUGCAG